rnacentral:rRNA from 1 species
ACACGACUACAUUAGAUACCCCCUGUAGUCCUAGCCGUAAACGAUACUCGCUAGGUGUCGGCCACGGUGCGACCGUUGUCGGUGCCGUAGGGAAGCCGUGAAGCGAGCCACCUGGGAAGUACGGCCGCAAGGCUGAAACUUAAAGGAAUUGGCGGGGGAGCACAACAACGGGUGGAGCUUGCGGUUUAAUUGGAUUCAACGCCGGAAAUCUUACCGGGACCGACAGCAACAUGAAGGCCAAGCUGAAGACUUUGCCGGAUUAGCUG